GAUGAACGCUGGCGGCGUGCCUAAUACAUGCAAGUCGAGCGAACAGAUAAGGAGCUUGCUCCUUUGACGUUAGCGGCGGACGGGUGAGUAACACGUGGGUAACCUACCUAUAAGACUGGGAUAACUUCGGGAAACCGGAGCUAAUACCGGAUAAUAUUUCGAACCGCAUGGUUCGAUAGUGAAAGAUGGUUUUGCUAUCACUUAUAGAUGGACCCGCGCCGUAUUAGCUAGUUGGUAAGGUAACGGCUUACCAAGGCGACGAUACGUAGCCGACCUGAGAGGGUGAUCGGCCACACUGGAACUGAGACACGGUCCAGACUCCUACGGGAGGCAGCAGUAGGGAAUAUUCCGCAAUGGGCGAAAGCCUGACGGAGCAACGCCGCGUGAGUGAUGAAGGUCUUCGGAUCGUAAAACUCUGUUAUCAGGGAAGAACAUACGUGUAAGUAACUGUGCACGUCUUGACGGUACCUAAUCAGAAAGCCACGGCUAACUACGUG
rnacentral:rRNA from 1 species